rnacentral:rRNA from 1 species
GAUGAACGCUGGCGGCGUGCCUAAUACAUGCAAGUCGAACGCGCAGCGAAAGGUGCUUGCACCUUUCAAGCGAGUGGCGAACGGGUGAGUAACACGUGGAUAACCUGCCUCAAGGCUGGGGAUAACAUUUGGAAACAGAUGCUAAUACCGAAUAAAACUUAGUAUCGCAUGAUACAAAGUUAAAAGGCGCUACGGCGUCACCUAGAGAUGGAUCCGCGGUGCAUUAGUUAGUUGGUGGGGUAAAGGCUUACCAAGACGAUGAUGCAUAGCCGAGGUGAGAGACUGCUCGGACACAGUGGGACUGAGAAACGGCCCAAACUCCUACGGGGGGCUGCAGUAGGGAAUCUUCCACAAUGGGCGCAAGCCUGAUGGAGCAACGCCGCGUGUGUGAUGAAGGCUUUCGGGUCGUAAAGCACUGUUGUAUGGGAAGAAAUGCUAAAAUAGGGAAUGAUUUUAGUUUGACGGUACCAUACCAGAAAGGGACGGCUAAAUACGUGCCAGCAGCCGCGGUAA